AACGAACGCUGGCGGCAUGCCUAACACAUGCAAGUCGAACGAGACCUUCGGGUCUAGUGGCGCACGGGUGCGUAACGCGUGGGAACCUGCCCUUAGGUUCGGAAUAACUCCCCGAAAGGGGUGCUAAUACCGGAUAAUGUCUUCGGACCAAAGAUUUAUCGCCUUUGGAUGGGCCCGCGUUGGAUUAGCUAGUUGGUAGGGUAAAAGCCUACCAAGGCGACGAUCCAUAGCUGGUCUGAGAGGAUGAUCAGCCACACUGGGACUGAGACACGGCCCAGACUCUUACGGGAGGCAGCAGUGGGGAAUAUUGGACAAUGGGCGAAAGCCUGAUCCAGCAAGGCCGCGUGAGUGAUGAAGGCCUUAGGGUUGUAAAGCUCUUUUACCCGGGAUGAUAAUGACAGUACCGGGAGAAUAAGCUCCGGCUAACUCCGUG
rnacentral:rRNA from 1 species